UGGGGAAUAUUGGACAAUGGGCGAAAGCCUGAUCCAGCAAUGCCGCGUGAGGGAUGACGGCCUUCGGGUUGUAAACCUCUUUCACCAGGGGCGAAGCGUGAGUGACGGUACCUGGAGAAGAAGCACCGGCCAACUACGUGCCAGCAGCCGCGGUAAUACGUAGGGUGCUAGCGUUGUCCGGAAUUAUUGGGCGUAAAGAGCUCGUAGGUGGUGUGUCGCGUCGGCUGUGAAAUCCCGGGGCUUAACUCCGGGCGGGCAGUCGAUACGGGCAGACUGGAGUACUGCAGGGGAGACUGGAAUUCCUGGUGUAGCGGUGAAAUGCGCAGAUAUCAGGAGGAACACUGGUGGCGAAGGCGGGUCUCUGGGCAGUAACUGACGCUGAGGAGCGAAAGCGUGGGGAGCGAACAGGAUUAGAUACCC
rnacentral:rRNA from 1 species